GCUGAGGCGGGUAGACGGGUCCAGGGAACAAGAUUGAGAGCGGUGAGACAUACAAGCUAAAGGAACACUCUUCGGAGAACCUUCAGGAAGACGAAGGAUGGUGGGCGGAGUCUUAGUGUGUACUGAGAAGAUGUCCAGUAAGGGCAACUGAGCCAUGACCACAACAUCUUGAAGUCUCACCCCUGCCGGCUGCACCUUAAAGUACAAAUGUCCCCAGAAGUUCUCUGCAUGAAGGAUGUCCCCAUACCUAACCUGCUCGAUACAGAAGGCACGUUGGCUCACAAGAAAGGACAAGUUUUCACCUCGGAUACUCGGCUGAUAAUGGAGACCUCCUAGCUAACGACACAGACCAACCACGUUUCUGGUGCCAUUGAUGACAUCACUUCUGGUUCCGCCCCCCACUGAUGACAUCUCUUCUGGUUCCACCCCCACUGAUGACAUCACUUCCUCUCAAGGCCUUUAAAGUCGCCAACUUUACAACCCUACGAUCGGUUCUGUUUUGGACUCAGAUCUGUGAACAUCUCACAGCCUAAUAACCCAUUUUGCAGCCAGGGCACAAUAUAAAGGUGACCCCCAAACCUUUUUGAUGUCUUUCGACUGUUAUUGUGACAGAGGAUUUGCACACAGCUCAGUCACACAACACUUUUUCUACAUGGUCCCCCAUUUCAGGUCACCAUAAUGUUUGGGACAACAGAUAUCUGUGAUUCCUCAGGUGGGUUUCAUGACUUCAUAAGAUACUUCGGCCUGCUUUUACCCUUUGAAGUCUAUAGUUGCCAUUGUUCAACAUGGGGAUAGGAGCAGUGCCAGUGAAAGUCAAAGAAGCCAUUAUGACGCAAAGAAACAAGAAUAAAACCAUUAGAGACAUCAGUAAGACCGUAGGAUGAGCAAAAUCAAGUGUCUGGAAUAUCAUGAAGAAGUAAGUACACACUGGUGGGCGCAGUAAUCACUAAGGGGCUGGUAGGACAAGAAAGACCUGCACUGCUGAUGACAGAAGAAUCCUAACUGUGCUAAAGAAAAAGCCCCAAACGCCUGUCUGACAGAUCAUACACAGACUUCAGGUGGCCGAUGUGUGUGUGUCAGAGACGACUAUCUGUACAAGACUUCAUGAAGAGAAACACAGGAGCCACACUGCAAGAUGCAGACCACAAAAACAGGAUGGCCAGAUGACAGUUUGUGUAAAGGGACU